CAGCAGCCGCGGUAAAACGUAGGGUGCGAGCGUUACUCGGAAUUACUGGGCGUAAAGCGUGCGUAGGUGGUGGUUUAAGUCCGUUGUGAAAGCCCUGGGCUCAACCUGGGAAUUGCAGUGGAUACUGGGUCACUAGAGUGUGGUAGAGGAUAGUGGAAUUUCCGGUGUAGCAGUGAAAUGCGUAGAGAUCGGAAGGAACAUCUGUGGCGAAGGCGACUAUCUGGGCCAACACUGACACUGAGGCACGAAAGCGUGGGGAGCAAACAGGAUUAGAUACCCGUGUAGUCCCUGUCUCUUAUAC
rnacentral:rRNA from 1 species